rnacentral:siRNA from 1 species
UCCCAACUCGAGAACCGACAUCCU